rnacentral:rRNA from 1 species
UACGGGGGGAGCAAGCGUUGUUCGGAUUUACUGGGCGUAAAGGGCGCGUAGGCGGUAGCACAAGUCAGUUGUGAAAUCUCCGGGCUUAACUCGGAAAGGUCAACUGAUACUGUGCGACUAGAGUGCAGAAGGGGCAACUGGAAUUCUCGGUGUAGCGGUGAAAUGCGUAGAUAUCGAGAGGAACACCUGCGGCGAAGGAGGGUUGCUGGGCUGACACUGACGCUGAGGCGCGAAAGCCAGGGGAGCGAACGGG